rnacentral:rRNA from 1 species
AUACGUAGGGGGCGAGCGUUGUCCGGAAUGAUUGGGCGUAAAGGGCGCGUAGGCGGCCCGGUAAGUCUGGAGUGAAAGUCCUGUUUUUAAGAUGGGAAUUGCUUUGGAUACUGUCGGGCUUGAGUGCAGGAGAGGUAAGUGGAAUUCCCAGUGUAGCGGUGAAAUGCGUAGAGAUUGGGAGGAACACCAGUGGCGAAGGCGACUUAAUGGACGUUAACUGACGCUGAGGCGCGAAAGUGUGGGGAGCAAACAGGAUUAGAUACCCUGGUAGUCCACGCCGUAAACGAUGAUUACUAGGUGUGGGGGGACUGACCCCUUCCGUGCCGCAGUUAACACAAUAAGUAAUCCACCUGGGGAGUACGGCCGCAAGGUUGAAACUCAAAUGAAUUGACGGGG